CAGCCGCCGCGGGAAUACAGAGGGUGUAAGCGUUAAUCGGAAUUACUGGGCGUAAAGCGCGCGUAGGUGGUUUGUUAAGUUGGAUGUGAAAUCCCCGGGCUCAACCUGGGAACUGCAUUCAAAACUGACUGACCAGAGUAUGGUAGAGGGUGGUGGAAUUUCCUGUGUAGCGGUGAAAUGCGUAGAUAUAGGAAGGAACACCAGUGGCGAAGGCGACCACCUGGACUAAUACUGACACUGAGGUGCGAAAGCGUGGGGAGCAAACAGGAUUAGAUACCCCUGUAGUCCCUGUCUCUUAUAC
rnacentral:rRNA from 1 species